rnacentral:miRNA from 1 species
CCAUGGCUCAGGAGCGCUAGA